GGUUAAGCGACUAAGCGUACACGGUGGAUGCCCUGGCAGUCAGAGGCGAUGAAGGGCGUGCUAAUCUGCGAUAAGCGCCGGUAAGGUGAUAUGAACCGUUAUAACCGGCGAUACCCGAAUGGGGAAACCCAGUGUGAUUCGUCACACUAUCAUUAACUGAAUCCAUAGGUUAAUGAGGCGAACCGGGGGAACUGAAACAUCUAAGUACCCCGAGGAAAAGAAAUCAACCGAGAUUCCCCCAGUAGCGGCGAGCGAACGGGGAGGAGCCCAGAGCCUGAAUCAGCAUGUGUGUUAGUGGAAGCGUCUGGAAAGGCGCGCGAUACAGGGUGACAGCCCCGUACACAAAAGCGCAUAUGCUGUGAGCUCGAUGAGUAGGGCGGGACACGUGGUAUCCUGUCUGAAUAUGGGGGGACCAUCCUCCAAGGCUAAAUACUCCUGACUGACCGAUAGUGAACCAGUACCGUGAGGGAAAGGCGAAAAGAACCCCGGCGAGGGGAGUGAAAAAGAACCUGAAACCGUGUACGUACAAGCAGUGGGAGCACCCUUUGGGGUGUGACUGCGUACCUUUUGUAUAAUGGGUCAGCGACUUAUAUUCUGUAGCAAGGUUAACCGAAUAGGGGAGCCGGAGGGAAACCGAGUCUUAAUUGGGCGUUAAGUUGCAGGGUAUAGACCCGAAACCCGGUGAUCUAGCCAUGGGCAGGUUGAAGGUUGGGUAACACUAACUGGAGGACCGAACCGACUAAUGUUGAAAAAUUAGCGGAUGACCUGUGGCUGGGGGUGAAAGGCCAAUCAAACCGGGAGAUAGCUGGUUCUCCCCGAAAGCUAUUUAGGUAGCGCCUCGUGAAUUCAUCUCCGGGGGUAGAGCACUGUUUCGGCUAGGGGGCCAUCCCGGCUUACCAACCCGAUGCAAACUGCGAAUACCGGAGAAUGUUAUCACGGGAGACACACGGCGGGUGCUAACGUCCGUCGUGAAGAGGGAAACAACCCAGACCGCCAGCUAAGGUCCCAAAGUCAUGGUUAAGUGGGAAACGAUGUGGGAAGGCCCAGACAGCCAGGAUGUUGGCUUAGAAGCAGCCAUCAUUUAAAGAAAGCGUAAUAGCUCACUGGUCGAGUCGGCCUGCGCGGAAGAUGUAACGGGGCUAAACCAUGCACCGAAGCUGCGGCAGCGAACGUAUCACUUAAAGCGAUUCAGCGGAUGACGAUUGACGGAGCGAAGCGACGUCAAAGCGUAUACAAAGUCGAGUCGGUUUAAGGAUACGUUCGUUGGGUAGGGGAGCGUUCUGUAAGCCUGCGAAGGUGGCCUGUGAGGGUUGCUGGAGGUAUCAGAAGUGCGAAUGCUGACAUAAGUAACGAUAAAGCGGGUGAAAAGCCCGCUCGCCGGAAGACCAAGGGUUCCUGUCCAACGUUAAUCGGGGCAGGGUGAGUCGACCCCUAAGGCGAGGCCGAAAGGCGUAGUCGAUGGGAAACGGGUUAAUAUUCCCGUACUUGGUGUUACUGCGAAGGGGGGACGGAGAAGGCUAUGUUGGCCGGGCGACGGUUGUCCCGGUUUAAGCGUGUAGGCUGGUUUUCCAGGCAAAUCCGGAAAAUCAAGGCUGAGGCGUGAUGACGAGGCACUACGGUGCUGAAGCAACAAAUGCCCUGCUUCCAGGAAAAGCCUCUAAGCAUCAGGUAACAUCAAAUCGUACCCCAAACCGACACAGGUGGUCAGGUAGAGAAUACCAAGGCGCUUGAGAGAACUCGGGUGAAGGAACUAGGCAAAAUGGUGCCGUAACUUCGGGAGAAGGCACGCUGACAUGUAGGUGAAGUGAUUUACUCAUGGAGCUGAAGUCAGUCGAAGAUACCAGCUGGCUGCAACUGUUUAUUAAAAACACAGCACUGUGCAAACACGAAAGUGGACGUAUACGGUGUGACGCCUGCCCGGUGCCGGAAGGUUAAUUGAUGGGGUCAGCGCAAGCGAAGCUCCUGAUCGAAGCCCCGGUAAACGGCGGCCGUAACUAUAACGGUCCUAAGGUAGCGAAAUUCCUUGUCGGGUAAGUUCCGACCUGCACGAAUGGCGUAAUGAUGGCCAGGCUGUCUCCACCCGAGACUCAGUGAAAUUGAACUCGCUGUGAAGAUGCAGUGUACCCGCGGCAAGACGGAAAGACCCCGUGAACCUUUACUAUAGCUUGACACUGAACAUUGAGCCUUGAUGUGUAGGAUAGGUGGGAGGCUUUGAAGUGUGGACGCCAGUCUGCAUGGAGCCGGCCUUGAAAUACCACCCUUUAAUGUUUGAUGUUCUAACGUGGACCCGUGAUCCGGGUUGCGGACAGUGUCUGGUGGGUAGUUUGACUGGGGCGGUCUCCUCCUAAAGAGUAACGGAGGAGCACGAAGGUUGGCUAAUCCUGGUCGGACAUCAGGAGGUUAGUGCAAUGGCAUAAGCCAGCUUGACUGCGAGCGUGACGGCGCGAGCAGGUGCGAAAGCAGGUCAUAGUGAUCCGGUGGUUCUGAAUGGAAGGGCCAUCGCUCAACGGAUAAAAGGUACUCCGGGGAUAACAGGCUGAUACCGCCCAAGAGUUCAUAUCGACGGCGGUGUUUGGCACCUCGAUGUCGGCUCAUCACAUCCUGGGGCUGAAGUAGGUCCCAAGGGUAUGGCUGUUCGCCAUUUAAAGUGGUACGCGAGCUGGGUUUAGAACGUCGUGAGACAGUUCGGUCCCUAUCUGCCGUGGGCGCUGGAGAACUGAGGGGGGCUGCUCCUAGUACGAGAGGACCGGAGUGGACGCAUCACUGGUGUUCGGGUUGUCAUGCCAAUGGCACUGCCCGGUAGCUAAAUGCGGAAGAGAUAAGUGCUGAAAGCAUCUAAGCACGAAACUUGCCCCGAGAUGAGUUCUCCCUGAGACUUAGAGUCUCCUGAAGGAACGUUGAAGACGACGACGUUGAUAGGCCGGGUGUGUAAGCGCAGCGAUGCGUUGAGCUAACCGGUACUAAUGAACCGUGAGGCUUAACCUU
rnacentral:rRNA from 1 species